UUUGGUACUGCGCCAUAGAUUGCAUUGAAGCAUUUUAACUGCCGUGUAUGAUCGAAGUAAUAAGAUAUUAUUUUGUACUACAAUCAUAAAUCUCUCUCUCUCUCGAUGGGAGGCUCUUGGCGUUCAAACAAAAUAACAACAGUUCGAAACUGUGAAUGGAUAAGUUCUGCAAUCUGCAAAGGCUAAGAAGAAACAAUGACAGGGGAAAGACUUGUCGUUGUAAAGAGCUGUAGCCAGGUGUAUGUUUGAUUACGUAAGUGAUGUACCGCACUUAGGAAAUUAAGCGUCCGACAACACUUCAGAUUGACAAAACGUGCUGUUCUAUAGUCUCAGGAACAAGGAACCGAUGACCUCGUGGUUUGGUCCCUUUUCCCGCCUUUAAACCAACCAACCAACCAAGUGCAACUCACACAUAUAUGACCAAUGACCACAGUCUGUGGCAGCUGAAGCCACACUACGUUGUUGGCUAAAAGCUUAUUUUGUGACAGUCUUUUUGUUGUGCCUAUCUGUGACUGAGCAUCUCUGCUAUAUGGCUCGUGCUGUGCAGCAGUCUGCUAAUCUGUACAAAUAAAAUGGCUCGUAUUUUGGGAGCAUUGUACAAUCAGUCGGGAAACCUCAGAUCCAGUGGAUAUUUGGCUUUGAUGAAGUUUAACCUUCCGAAGAUGUAAUGGAGGUCUUGGAUUAUUAAAUCCAGGUGCAGUAUUCACACAGACAUAUAGGUGAUGGAAAGCGAUGGAGCAAACAUUAACAGAUGGAGAAUAUUACUUCCUGGUACUGCUGAUUACACUUCCUGUCAAUUUGUUUUUCUGUCUGUGGGCUUGGCUUGGAUGGGAGCUUUUUAAAAAUAAUUAGGGCUACAUUGAAAUAAAACUAUCAUGCCAUUCAAA